AGUUGUUUUAUAUUUUGAGAUAUAUCUAGAUGGGAGAUCUUUGGGUAGAGUACCUUUUGCAUCAUGAUCUAUUGGUGGAUAUGAGCAGUUGCUCGGGUCCGAAGGAGUACGGUUUUUAAGGCACAUGUUAAGCAGGUGAUGAGUGAGCGGGUAGCUCUUUAAAUAGUGCCUUAGAGGGAUGAUAAAUAAGACGUGUAUUCUAAUAUCUGAUGGGGGGUUGUGUUUUUAGGUGUAAGCUUGGUGCCAUGAGGUGCUGGGCUAGUUAAGAAUUUAAAUUAGCGUGGAAUGCGCAAAGGGUUAAAAGUACCCUGUGUUAAGUUAAUGUUAUUAUAAAAUCGUUAAAUUGGUUUGUAAAGUUUUGUGAUAUUCGUCCCCUUGAAAAUUGUUUGUAGUGUGUUAUGGUAGAAUGAGUAUAUUAAGUUAAUACUGGCUUCCUAUCUCGGAAGUUGUCGGUCUGUUUAGUAAAAACAUAGUCAUCCGUGAGAUGUUGGAUGGUAAAGCCUGCCCUAUGCAUGUGAGUGUAAAUGGCCGCAGUAAUUUGACUGUGCAAAGGUAGCAUAAUUAAUUGUCUCGUAAUUGGGGGAUUGUUUGAAAGGUUAGACUAGGCAAUGAUUAGGAGGCAGGUGGGUUAGAAAUUGGAGGUUUGGUGCAGAUACCAAACGGAGUUAGUUAGACGGAAAGACCCCGAGAGCUUUACACUUUUGUGUUUAUCUGGGGCAGAGGCGUAUUUUUCAUGCGUUUUUUGAUCCUAACGGGUUAUAGGUAUGAGUUACCUCGGGGAUAACUAGGUAAGAAGCAAUAAGAGAUCCUAUCGCUUUGCUUAUUUGCCAUCUCGAUGUUGAUUUAGGGUAACACGGAGGCGCAGUAGUUUUUGUGUUAGGUCUGUUCGACCUGUGUUCCUUUCAUGAGUUGAGUUAAGACCGGCGUGAGCCAGGUCGGUUCUUAUCUGCUAGUCUUGCAAGUUAGUACGAAAGGAUUGCUUGCAAUUUAUGUUGGGUGCGAGCA
rnacentral:rRNA from 1 species